UACAGAGGGCGCGAGCGUUGUCCGGAAUCACUGGGCGUAAAGGGCGCGUAGGUGGCGGCAUAAGGCCGCGGUGAAAGUCUGGGGCUCAACCCCAGAUCGGCCGCGGCGACUGUGUCGCUCGAGCACGGUAGAGGCAGAUGGAAUUCCGGGUGUAGCGGUGGAAUGCGUAGAGAUCCGGAAGAACACCAGUGGCGAAGGCGGCAUCCUGGACCGGCAUUGACGCUGAGGCGCGAAAGCUAGGGGAGCAAACGGG
rnacentral:rRNA from 1 species